rnacentral:rRNA from 1 species
UACGUAGGUGACAAGCGUUGUCCGGAUUUACUGGGCGUAAAGAGCGCGCAGGCGGUCGAUCAAGUCGAGUGUGAAAGCCCCCGGCUCAACUGGGGAGGGUCAUUCGAUACUGAUCGACUCGAAGGCAGGAGAGGGUAGUGGAAUUCCCGGUGUAGUGGUGAAAUGCGUAGAUAUCGGGAGGAACACCGGUGGCGAAGGCGGCAUCCUGGACCGAGAUUGACGCUGAUGCGCGAAAGCCAGGGGAGCAAACGGGG